rnacentral:rRNA from 1 species
GGAAUUUUCCGCAAUGGGCGAAAGCCUGACGGAGCAACGCCGCGUGAGGGACGAAGGCCUCUGGGCUGUAAACCUCUUUUCUCAAGGAAGAAGAACUGACGGUACUUGAGGAAUAAGCCACGGCUAAUUCCGUACCAGCAGCCGCGGUAAUACGGGAGUGGCAAGCGUUAUCCGGAAUUAUUGGGCGUAAAGCGUCCGCAGGCGGCCUCGUAAGUCUGUCGUUAAAGCGUGGAGCUUAACUCCAUUUAAGCGAUGGAAACUGUGAGGCUUGAGUGUGGUAGGGGCAGAGGGAAUUCCCGGUGUAGCGGUGAAAUGCGUAGAUAUCGGGAAGAACACCAGUGGCGAAGGCGCUCUGCUGGGCCAUAACUGACGCUCAUGGACGAAAGCCAGGGGAGCGAAAGGGAUUAGAUACCCCUGUAGUCCUGGCCGUAAACGAUGAACACUAGGUGUCGGGGGAAUCGACCCCCUCGGUGUCGUAGCCAACGCGUUAAGUGUUCCGCCUGGGGAGUACGCACGCAAGUGUGAAACUCAAAGGAAUUGACGGA